GUUUAGAAAAUUUUAUCAAACACGGUCCUUAAUCUCACUGAGGGUUCCAUCAAUGUUUGUGAAAAAGAGUAUAGUAUUAUUGUAUCUUUAUUUUUAUUCUUAUUCAUGUGCAUGUAUGUGUCCACAGGGUCCACAGGGGCCAGAAGAGAGCAUCAGAUUCCCCGGAGCUGGAGUUACAAUUGACUGCGAACUACCCAACAUGGGUUUUGGGAACCAAACUCAGGGCCUCUGGUAUGUGUUCUCAAUUGCUGAGUCAUCGCUCAGGUCCUCUGGUAGAGUAGUAUGUGUUCUCAACUGCUGAGGCAUCGCUCAGGUCCUCUGGUAGAGUAGUAUGUGUUCUCAACUGCUGAGGCAUCACUCAGGUCCUCUGGUAGAGUAGUAUGUCAUCUCAACUGCUGAGGCAUCACUCAGGUCCUCUGGUAGAGUAGUAUGUCAUCUCAACUGCUGAGGCAUCACUCAGGUCCUCUGGUAGAGUAGUAUGUGUUCUCAACUGCUGAGGCAUCACUCAGGUCCUCUGGUAGAGUAGUAUGUCAUCUCAACUGCUGAGGCAUCACUCAGGUCCUCUGGAAGAGUAGUAUGUCAUCUCAACUGCUGAGGCAUCACUCAGGUCCUCUGGAAGAGUAGUAUGUCAUCUCAACUGCUGAGGCAUCACUCAGGUCCUCUGGUAGAGUAGUAUGUGUUCUCAACUGCUGAGGCAUCACUCAGGUCCUCUGGAAGAGUAGUAUGUGUUCUCAACUGCUGAGGCAUCUCUCCAGCCUCUAGUCUUAGCAUAUCUUGUCCGUGGCUCUCACCAUAGGGAACCCAGCAAAUUGUUUAAGAAUAGGGACUCUACAGUAAACAGUGGUUUCAAGUUGAAGCUACCCAGUUACUAGCUAAAUAAUUGUGGGCCUGUUUGGGAACCUCUCUGAUAACAGGCACGUGUGAGUAAAUAUUUUUAUUCACUAAUGGAUUCUUGUGGCCUUACACGGUGUCUAUUGUACAAUAGGAACUUGGUAUAUUUUAAUAACAAAUGCAUAAUUAUUAAUACAUAGCCAGUGCUCAUUAAAUAAGAUGUUAAAACAAGUAGGCAAAAGAGUUCAUUGGUCUCAGAAUACUGGAUGCGCUUCAUAUUCAUAUGGUCUAUAUUGUUUUUUCUAACCUCUUCAUUAUGCAGGACAUUUGUCGCAGAGAAACCACAGUGCUGUGCUGGAUGUGAUGCAGCAAGAAUAAGGAUAUGUAUGCUCUGAACCUUGCCCUCAAAGACUUGAUAAUUUUCUAGUGUUAGACAACAUAAACAGCAAUAACUAUAAUUAUAGGCAGUGCUAGAAUUAUAUUAAACUGUAUAUUAAACACCUUAUAAAUUAUGCAGUGCAUAUUUUUGAAUUCAGAAGCAGGAGAUACUGCUAGAUGCAGUCACAUAAAAAUAGACACAGUAGGAUGGUAGAGACGGCAGACAGUUAAGAGCACUUGCUGCUCUUGCAGGGGACCUGGGUUCAGUCCCAGUACGCUUCUCAGAUAGCUCACAGCUACCUGUAACUCCAGUUUCAGGGAGAUCCGGUGUGCUCUGCUAGCCUCCUCAGUCACUGUACACAUGUGGUGCACAUGGAUGUACUCAGGCAACCCCACCUACAACUAAAAGAAAAAGAAACCUUUAAAAACAUAAAUAUAAUUGCAGACAGCCAAAAGCCGAUGUGGCAGCUUUUCUAAGCAAUGUCAGGAGCAGAAUACUCAUCUCUCCACCUUAAUAUGAUUGCAAUUUGUGAAGAGGGAGUGGGUGUCCAUUACUUUCCCCGUGGCUUGUCCUUAGCUCUUCUUAGCACAGCGCUGGGGGGUUGGGGAAAGCUCUCAUUUACUGCACCAGUGUGGACAGAGGGGAAGUGACCCAUUCCUCUGUCACCUCCACCUCUCUUCUGAAGCACAGCGCUCCUCUGGUUGAUGGACAGCAACGGGCCACCUGUCCGUUCCCAAUCCAAUAAAGAAAGGGAUUUGGGAGAAAAGCAAGAAGCCUUCCCGAUGGGCUUGGAAAGUAAUUGCACAGAAGAAACCUGUGUGCCUGUUUCAGGACACAUUUGCAUUUGCAAAAAUCAAGAAUUUGCAAAGGCAUAUUCCCGAGAAGACGUGUGAAACCACCCAAUUAAAAGAGGAGAUGGCGAAGACAAAAACCAAAACUGGUUAUAUAAUUUCAUUUAAUUGAAAGAGGACCAAAAAAAUACAUCAAAGCUGUAAAUCUGUGUUUCCCUGGGGUCUCGAUGGAAUGAUUCAGCUUUUUUAAGCUGUGUCCAGAGACAGCUGAAGCAGGGUGUUAGACCACUCACCCUUACACUUGUAAUUACAUACCAGUACAUGAUGUCAGGACGAGCUGAUGGUGGAGAACCCCUCGCUGUGGCUAAGCCAUGAUUCCAGGGGACCUAGAGGAAGAUAAGGCCUAUGAGGCCGAGAGAUGAGCCAACCUGGAGUCUGCCUGAGGGCCUAGCAACAGGCGAUGUCAGAGGUCCUGAUCGUGCCUAGCCAAUGAGGGGCAACCAUGCAAUGUCACUGGAUCAGGAUGCAGCCUGGGUGCUGGGAGGAGGGUAUGUAUAUAAGGCUCUUCCCAUUGCUGAAUAAAUGAGUCUGCUGUUUGCCUUUUACCUGA